UCUUGAUGAUGACACCAUUUGAAACUGAGCAGCUUGUUUGUUGCUCAGUUGAUGUGAUUUUCAAGACGGGACUGAUUUUGAGAUUU
rnacentral:snoRNA from 1 species